UAAAACUUUCAACAACGGAUCUCUUGGCUCUGGCAUCGAUGAAGAACGCAGCGAAAUGCGAUAAGUAAUGUGAAUUGCAGAAUUCAGUGAAUCAUCGAAUCUUUGAACGCACAUUGCGCCCCUUGGUAUUCCGAGGGGCAUGCCUAUUCGAGCGUCAU
rnacentral:rRNA from 2 species